UGGGGAAUAUUGGACAAUGGGCGCAAGCCUGAUCCAGCCAUGCCGCGUGUGUGAAGAAGGUCUUCGGAUUGUAAAGCACUUUAAGUUGGGAGGAAGGUCAGUAACCUAAUACGUUGCUGAUUUGACGUUACCGACAGAAUAAGCACCGGCUAACUCUGUGCCAGCAGCCGCGGUAGUACAGAGGGUGCAAGCGUUAAUCGGAAUUACUGGGCGUAAAGCGCGCGUAGGUGGUUAUGUAAGUUGGAUGUGAAAUCCCCGGGCUCAACCUGGGAACUGCAUCCAAAACUGCAUAGCUAGAGUACGGUAGAGGGUGGUGGAAUUUCCUGUGUAGCGGUGAAAUGCGUAGAUAUAGGAAGGAACACCAGUGGCGAAGGCGACCACCUGGACUGAUACUGACACUGAGGUGCGAAAGCGUGGGGAGCAAACAGGAUUAGAUACCCCAGUAGUCCCUGAGCGGGCUGGCAAGGCGCAU
rnacentral:rRNA from 1 species